UAUAAACAUGGACACUUGUCUUGUCCAGCACCUUGGCUUGUUGAGCGAUACACCAGACAAACAUCCGUUAGGAAAAUGUGAAAAAUGCCCGGCUAAUGUUACUCUUGAUAAUUCAUUACCUAGCUCAUGCUAAUCAGCUGUAGCACAUUGAAUAGCUUAAAAAUGUACUUGCUAAUGUCGACAAUGGUUCAGUUGAGAUGCUACAUGGUUUGGUCCUUAUUCUUCCACAUCAAUGCUAACAAAACACUGUUCUUAGCUUGUCCUUGAGCGCAUUUAUCAGCAUGCUGCUUAUAGAUACAUAUCACAAAUAUCCUGGACUUUUGAAACCAGAGGAACUGAACUCAGUAACUAAACUAGGAACUAAAAGUAGCUCAUGUACAUUCUCAUUACUGUUUCCAUCACUGUCAAAAAGGCCCUCCCUGGCAGCGACAUUCUCACCGUAAUGUUCUCCCUCACUUUCUCUCCCCCCACCUGAACUCUGCCUCACAUGACACUUUGGGCCAAUCAGAACUGAGCUAGGUUGGCCCUUUUUUUCCCUCAAAAAAGUAGUUUGAAGUCUGCCACGCAUCAGAUGCUUUUCUGGAUUAAGGACUUUGCCUUGUACUAACUGUCAUCUGGUGUCAAGUAGCGCAAAACCACUGAGUCAUCAGACUGUUGUAAAAGGAUUAUGGAUGUGGUGGUGACAACAAAGACCUAAAAAUUGAAGACAUCUGCGUGAUUCUGAUCGAUCACCUGCAGCGGGUUCUCCUUGAACAAAUCUAGCACGAUGGAGAGGAAUGGCAGGGGGUGGUCUGCCGUGCUCAGCAGCUGUGUCCUCUGAGGUGGAUGUUUUAUGAGACGGAGGGAAGCAGUGUGGCUGACCCCCAACCAAGAGCCUUUUUCCUACCACACACACACUCAACUACACAUUCAUCAGUCAGCUACAGCUUGUGUGUGUGUAGUUUACUGCUGAUACAUGAUUUUCAGAUGGUAAAUUUACAGCUAUGAUUAAACAUGUUUCAUUGAAAAUAAGAAUAAGGCUGAACAUCAGGCUAAACUCAGUGUUUUUCCCCCUUGAUACAGAAUUAGAAAUAUAAGAAACCUCCACUUGCAGCAACAGAUAACGUAAGCAGCAUAUAAUUUUCCAUCAUCUUAUCCACUCCUCUGUGAGGUCUUUUACUGGUUGAGGUAUUUUGGAGGUACUGUAUAUGGGCUGAUAAUUUUCAGAAGGGAGACAAUUCUCGAUUAAGGCUCACUGGUGGGUGAUGUCUGUAUGAAUUACACCUUCCAUAAAGCUGUAAUAGGAAAGACAAUCAGCAGCUUGUAUCUGUGCAGCCUUGCAGGGUAUUUACCUUUUUAUGUGGGUGUAAAUUUGACAUGUGCCAAGGACAAGCCUCUUUCCAGAUGUCGUUCCUUUUAGUAUUAGCUCACAGGGGCACAUGGUGCAAACACAAAGAUAUGUGCAGUCAGGGUCAUUCAUGUUGGUCUAAAUGCUAUUUCAGAUGUUAAAGUUUUAAGCUUUUAACAUAAAAAAAUGAUGCAUAAUCAGCCUUUAUAACCCAAAUGGUCACACCCAAACAUGAACAUAAAAAGAUAUUUUAUUGCACCUCCAAAUCCACACAGGUAAAAGGGAAUCACAGUUAUUAACUAUGCAACUGAAAGAGUAUUUUUACAUAUGUGAUGGUAUAAUUAAACUAAUGUAUGUCUUUUUCAGCUGUUAAUAUGAGAUGCCAAUGGUACGCUAUGU